UCCUGUCCAGGCCACCAGAGACCUUCUUGUUGCCAAACUCAGUCCAAUGGACACGUCUCUGUCCUCACAUCCCAGCUCCAGCAGCGUCCUACACUGACCUCUCCUUCCGCGCUUCCUGGGUCGUCCAGCUGUGACUCCACCCCUCCUGCUUCCUUGUGACCUCAUGGCCCCUCCUUCGGGGUCCCCUUUCCUGCUCCCCGUCCUCUGUCUGACCUUCUGGCGUUGCAGAGAAGCCCCACGUCUCAAGAGGAUUUGUGAAUAAGUGAAUCACCCGAAAGUCCCCAGACCCCCCUUCCUUCAUUCACCCAAAAGUGGUGCACAAGGAGAGCGCAUCCCCCCGGCUCCCUGUAGGUGCUGCAGGUGCAGCAGGGAGCUCACCUGGUGGGUGAGAGGUACUAUAUGUAAAGAAGCAGGUAGCGUCCUAGAAUGCAAGGUCCCGAUAAGGAAAGUAAAGCAAGAGAAGGUGACAGAGUGCAUGGUGGGGGGGCAGCAAGUGCAAAGGUCCUGAGGCAGGGACGUGCUUUUGCAGGAAGAUGGCCGUGCAGCUGGAGCCAAAUGAGCAAGGGAGAUAACGUGUUAAUACUGAAAUCAGAACCGUAGAAAGAAUCCAGAGGCUCCAGGUGUUAGGAGGUCCCCGGAGUUUCCAUCAGGAAAGUGACCUGACCUAAGGUUUUAAAGCAUCACUCUGCCAACACAGUGGAAAGCUGACGGAAGGAGAUCACAGUGGAUCCAGGAAGUCCCCUUUCUGUCCUACUCUCUCCCUCCAGCAGAACAGGCAGGAUGCAGACCCCCAGGAGGGGACGUACGCCCAGGUGAACCACUCAAGAUCAAGACUAAGGCGGGGGGUGGCCACCUCUCCUUCCUCCCUGUCGGGGAGAUUGCUGGACACGAAGGACAGACAAGCGGAAGAGGACGAGCAGAGGGACGGUCAGGCCGCCGCAUCUGAAGCCCCCCAGGAUGUGACCUAUGCCCAGCUGAACCACUCGACCUUCAGACGGGAGACUGCAACCCCUGCCCCCCAGUCAGGGGAGCCCCCAGAAGAGCCCAGCGUGUAUGCUGCUCUCGCC